ACAGUAACCGGGGGCAUUCCAAAGUGCGCAGCCGCGAAGUGGCAAAGGGCUUCCUCACCAUCCUAUACCCCCCAACCCACCAGCAGGGGUUAGCCGCUCCAGGGAGAGACCUCCUAUGCGCCAACCCUAACUUCAAGGACAAGGUCCAGAGAGGAAUCAUGGGGUGUCCCAGCUUCCAUACACCGCGAGCCUAGGGAGCAAAGGCAUCUGGGGCCCCUGAAAGCCUGGCACCUGAAAAGGGAUACCCCAGUCUCCAGCUUGUCCUCCUCCCCAACCGGAGCCCGAGGGAGGCGCUGGCAGCAGGAAGCCGGGGAAGGGCCCGGAGGAGCGCAGGCCCCACAGCCGAGCGAUCCGAGAGCGAAGGAGAGUGCAACACUGGACCCAAACUGCUCAACAGUGUCCUCAUAGGGACAUGAAGGUGGGGAAGGAUUGCUGACCUGCUAAGGAGCACCCUGAUAUGGGGAUCUGGGAGCACAAGAGGCCCAGGAAGAAUGUGCCCCCUGCACCUUACUUACAUACCCUGCCUGGACUCAGAGAGACCAGAAUCCAGACAACAGUUGCUGCUGGGCACGGCCACUCGUCCUGGCUUGUGGCAGAGGGCUCAGGCACAAGGUGGGCGGUUAGAGCUCUGGCACCAGAGCCCUUCUCGACAUCCCCACUGCUUCCAACCAGUCCAAGCCCCAUCUCUGACUUAGAAGAUGGUUGUUAUUCCUCACUGGCUUACCAGCUGUCACCUCAUCCCCCUUCAGCCAGUUCCCCAUCAGCGAUCCAUGUGAGACUUGGACCAGGACACUCCCCUGCUUAAGGAUCUCAAGGUUCCCAUUCCUCUUUAAUAAAACCCCAACUCCUUACUUUGGCUUAGAAAGAUACACGAUGUGACCUUUGCCCACCCUCUGAACACCUCUCCUGCUAGUCUGUCCCUUGAUUUCUUCACUGCAAUCACAAUGGCCCCUUUGCUGUUUCUCCAGCAGGCAGAGAUCUUUCUCAGCUCACACUUUCUGCCUUCACAUGGCCUCUGCCUGGAAUGCCCUUACCCAUACUCUUUGCAUGGCUUAUGGUGCAGGUCCCAGCAUGGGCAUCACAACUCACAGAGGCCUUCCCUGAAAAAACAGUGGCUUUGUCUGAGGAGCCCCACUCCCCAUAAAUCCCCCUACACCCAGCAGCCUGCACACAGCAUUGUCUGAAAUGACCUUGUUUGUAUAUUUACUUGUUUAUUGCCCAUGCCUCCCCCCAGCAAGAAUGUAACCUCCAAGAGGACAAGUGUUGUGUCUCGCUUACUCACAUCUGUGGCCUCAGUGCCUCGCAUUGCCACCCCCACGCCCCACCGCCCCCAGAGUGCCGCAAAGAGAGUGCAAAAUAAAUAUUUGUUAAAUGAAUGAUGAAGGGAAUGGUGGAGGAGGCUGUCUGGGCCCUUUAUGGAAUUACUUCAGCUCAGUUAUGUCUAUUU
rnacentral:lncRNA from 1 species